UGGAUUAAGAGCUUGCUCUUAUGAAGUUAGCGGCGGACGGGUGAGUAACACGUGGGUAACCUGCCCAUAAGACUGGGAUAACUCCGGGAAACCGGGGCUAAUACCGGAUAACAUUUUGAACCGCAUGGUUCGAAAUUGAAAGGCGGCUUCGGCUGUCACUUAUGGAUGGACCCGCGUCGCAUUAGCUAGUUGGUGAGGUAACGGCUCACCAAGGCAACGAUGCGUAGCCGACCUGAGAGGGUGAUCGGCCACACUGGGACUGAGACACGGCCCAGACUCCUACGGGAGGCAGCAGUAGGGAAUCUUCCGCAAUGGACGAAAGUCUGACGGAGCAACGCCGCGUGAGUGAUGAAGGCUUUCGGGUCGUAAAACUCUGUUGUUAGGGAAGAACAAGUGCUAGUUGAAUAAGCUGGCACCUUGACGGUACCUAACCAGAAAGCCACGGCUAACUACGUGCCAGCAGCCGCGGUAAUACGUAGGUGGCAAGCGUUAUCCGGAAUUAUUGGGCGUAAAGCGCGCGCAGGUGGUUUCUUAAGUCUGAUGUGAAACCCACGGCUCAACCGUGGAGGGUCAUUGGAAACUGGGAGACUUGAGUGCAGAAGAAGAAAGUGGAAUUCCAUGUGUAGCGGUGAAAAGCGGAAAGAAAUGGAGGAACACCAGGGGCGAAGGCGACUUUCUGGUCUGUAAACUUGACACUGAGGGCCGGAAAACGGGGGGAGCCAACAGGAUUAGAUAACCCUGGAUAGUUCCACCCCUUAAACGAUUGAAUGCUAAAGUUUUUAGAAGGGUUUUCCCCCUUUUAUUUGCGGAAGUAAAACAAUUAAAGCAAUUCCCCCUUGGGGGGUAAGGGCCGCCAAGGCUUAAAAAUUAAAAGGAAAUUGGCCGGGGGGCCCCCACAAAGGGGGGGAAGCCAUUUGGUUUUAAUUUUGGAAGGCAAACGGGAAAAGAAACCUUUUCCCCAGGUUUUUGCAUUCUUUUUACCAACCUAAGGAUAAGGUUUUUCUUUCGGGGACAAAAGGACCAGUGGUCCUUGGUUUUGUUAACCCCGGGUCCUUAAAAGGUUGGUUAAUUCCCCCACGAAGGCACCCUUAUUUUAGUUGGCCACCAUUAAUUGGGCAAUUUUAGGGGGCCGCCGGUUACCAAACGGAAGAAGGGUGGGGAGAGUUCAAUUAUUCUUCCCCCUAUUACCUUGGGUACCCCACUUGUUCCAAUGGCGGUUCCAAAAAGUGCCAGGACCGGAAGGUGAAGUUAUUUUAUUAAACCGUUUUUAAUUUGGGAUGUUAGGUGCCAAUUGCCUUCCAGGAAGCGGGAAUCGUUGGUAUUGGGGAUUAACCAUCCGCGGGGAAAUAGGUUCCGGGCCUUGGUACACACCGCCGGUCCCACCAGAAAAUUUGGUACCCCCGAAAUCGGUGGGGUACCCUUUUGGAGCCAGCCGCCU
rnacentral:rRNA from 1 species